GGGCCCGUGUUGUAUAUAGUAACAUAUCGGUGUUGGUACCCGAUGUAGCGGGUGCAAGUCCCGUCGGGUCCACCA
rnacentral:tRNA from 1 species